rnacentral:rRNA from 1 species
AUGGAGAGUUUGAUCCUGGCUCAGGAUGAACGCUGGCGGCGUGCCUAAUACAUGCAAGUCGAGCGAACGGACGAGAAGCUUGCUUCUCUGAUGUUAGCGGCGGACGGGUGAGUAACACGUGGAUAACCUACCUAUAAGACUGGGAUAACUUCGGGAAACCGGAGCUAAUACCGGAUAAUAUUUUGAACCGCAUGGUUCAAAAGUGAAAGACGGUCUUGCUGUCACUUAUAGAUGGAUCCGCGCUGCAUUAGCUAGUUGGUAAGGUAACGGCUUACCAAGGCAACGAUGCAUAGCCGACCUGAGAGGGUGAUCGGCCACACUGGAACUGAGACACGGUCCAGACUCCUACGGGAGGCAGCAGUAGGGAAUCUUCCGCAAUGGGCGAAAGCCUGACGGAGCAACGCCGCGUGAGUGAUGAAGGUCUUCGGAUCGUAAAACUCUGUUAUUAGGGAAGAACAUAUGUGUAAGUAACUGUGCACAUCUUGACGGUACCUAAUCAGAAAGCCACGGCUAACUACGUGCCAGCAGCCGCGGUAAUACGUAGGUGGCAAGCGUUAUCCGGAAUUAUUGGGCGUAAAGCGCGCGUAGGCGGUUUUUUAAGUCUGAUGUGAAAGCCCACGGCUCAACCGUGGAGGGUCAUUGGAAACUGGAAAACUUGAGUGCAGAAGAGGAAAGUGGAAUUCCAUGUGUAGCGGUGAAAUGCGCAGAGAUAUGGAGGAACACCAGUGGCGAAGGCGACUUUCUGGUCUGUAACUGACGCUGAUGUGCGAAAGCGUGGGGAUCAAACAGGAUUAGAUACCCUGGUAGUCCACGCCGUAAACGAUGAGUGCUAAGUGUUAGGGGGUUUCCGCCCCUUAGUGCUGCAGCUAACGCAUUAAGCACUCCGCCUGGGGAGUACGACCGCAAGGUUGAAACUCAAAGGAAUUGACGGGGACCCGCACAAGCGGUGGAGCAUGUGGUUUAAUUCGAAGCAACGCGAAGAACCUUACCAAAUCUUGACAUCCUUUGACAACUCUAGAGAUAGAGCCUUCCCCUUCGGGGGACAAAGUGACAGGUGGUGCAUGGUUGUCGUCAGCUCGUGUCGUGAGAUGUUGGGUUAAGUCCCGCAACGAGCGCAACCCUUAAGCUUAGUUGCCAUCAUUAAGUUGGGCACUCUAAGUUGACUGCCGGUGACAAACCGGAGGAAGGUGGGGAUGACGUCAAAUCAUCAUGCCCCUUAUGAUUUGGGCUACACACGUGCUACAAUGGACAAUACAAAGGGCAGCGAAACCGCGAGGUCAAGCAAAUCCCAUAAAGUUGUUCUCAGUUCGGAUUGUAGUCUGCAACUCGACUACAUGAAGCUGGAAUCGCUAGUAAUCGUAGAUCAGCAUGCUACGGUGAAUACGUUCCCGGGUCUUGUACACACCGCCCGUCACACCACGAGAGUUUGUAACACCCGAAGCCGGUGGAGUAACCUUUUAGGAGCUAGCCGUCGAAGGUGGGACAAAUGAUUGGGGUGAAGUCGUAACAAGGUAGCCGUAUCGGAAGGUGCGGCUGGAU